GGCGCUAUAGCUAAGUGGUUAAAGCGACAGAUUAGAACCAUAAGUUGCACCCAUAAGUUCUAAUAUCUGUUCCUCUUUGAGGGCGCAGGUUCAAAUCCUGCUGGCGUCG